GUGGUUGUAUCUAAAUCAACAGGCCGAGUAGUAUACUCAUCUCUGAUGGACGUUCGAUCGGUACCAUCGGUGGUUGUAUACGAUCGAGAGGUGUAUGUAGUUGUGUCUGUAUCAGGACGCGAUGUGGUUUCUCUAGCCUGUGAUGUGGUUGUAUCUAAAUCAACAGGCCGAGUAGUAUACUCAUCUCUGAUGGACGUUCGAUCGGUACCAUCGGUGGUUGUAUACGAUCGAGAGGUGUAUGUAGUUGUGUCUGUAUCAGGAUGCGACGUGGUUUCCCU